GGAUAAUCUCUCCAUUAUUAAAUGAAAUCUUAGCUCUAUUCCAAGAUAUGACCUAGUAAUUUCAUUUAUUGCAUAAAGAGUUAAAGAUACAUUGGUUAUUUUGCCCAAUGUUGUCAUAUUCUGGGAAAAAAAUGUCAACUGCCUUGUACAAAAGCUUUUAUAAAAUGCGCUGAGCUGUUUGAGAAAGUUCAAAAUCAUUCUGGGAUCCUGGUAUUUACCAAAACAAGAGGCUAUAAAAGUCAGAACUGGAUUCAUCUGUAAUUUUUAGUCAUUUCUAUAGCUCAGUUUAUU
rnacentral:misc_RNA from 1 species